rnacentral:rRNA from 1 species
AUUGAACGCUGGCGGAAUGCUUUACACAUGCAAGUCGAACGGCAGCACGGACUUCGGUCUGGUGGCGAGUGGCGAACGGGUGAGUAAUGUAUCGGAACGUGCCCAGUCGUGGGGGAUAACGUAGUGAAAAUUACGCUAAUACCGCAUACGAUCUAUGGAUGAAAGCGGGGGAUCGCAAGACCUCGCGCGAUUGGAGCGGCCGAUAUCAGAUUAGGUAGUUGGUGGGGUAAAGGCCCACCAAGCCAACGAUCUGUAGCUGGUCUGAGAGGACGACCAGCCACAAUGGCACUGAGACACCGUCCAGACGCCGACGGAGGGGGGCAGUGGGGAAUUUUGGGCAAUGGGCGAGAGCCUGAUCCAGCCAUUCCGCGUGCAGGAAGAAGGCCCUCGGGUUGUAAACUGCUUUUGUGCAGAACGAAAAGGUUUCUACUAAUACUAGGAGCUCAUGACGGUACUGUAAGAAUAAGCACCGGCUAACUACGUGCCAGCCGCAGCAGUAA